UUCUACCUCUCUGAUAAUUUAAUUACCCCCCCCCCCCUCACACGCCAUCUAUCGGGAAAAAAAAAAAUGAAAGAAAAAUAAAACAUCCCCCUCAUUUUAAUUUCAGAACUUCGUAAACUUGAAUGAUGCAUACUUUCCAUUUCUAAAGGUUCAUGUAUUUAGACGAGUCACUUGUACUAUUAACAAUAGCUUCUUUUUUUUUUUUUUUUUU